rnacentral:rRNA from 1 species
UACGUAGGGUGCAAGCGUUGUCCGGAAUUAUUGGGCGUAAAGAGCGUGUAGGCGGCCCGAUUAGUCCGCUGUGAAAGUCCAGGGCUCAACCCUGGAAUGCCGGUGGAUACUGUCGGGCUAGAGUCCGGAAGGGGCGAGUGGAAUUCCUGGUGUAGCGGUGAAAUGCGCAGAUAUCGGGAGGAACACCAAUGGCGAAGGCAGCUCGCUGGGACGGUACUGACGCUGAGACGCGAAAGCGUGGGGAGCAAACAGG